rnacentral:rRNA from 1 species
CGCGUAAAUAAUCUACCCUGGUGUCUGGGAUAACCCUUCGAAAGGAGGACUAAUACCGGCUAUAUGCUUAGUUGUUGGACUAAGCAGGAAAGGUGGCCUCUUCAUGAAAGCUAUCGCACUGGGAUGAGUUUGCGUACCAUUAGCUAGUUGGUGGGGUAAAGGCCCACCAAGGCGACGAUGGUUAGCGGGUCUGAGAGGAUGAUCCGUCACACUGGCACUGGAGCACGGGCCAG